AUUGAACGCUGGCGGCAUGCUUUACACAUGCAAGUCGAACGAGUGCCGAACGGGUGAGUAAUAUAUCGGAACUUACCGAGUAAUGGGGGUUAACCCAUCAAACGAUUGGCUAAUACCGCAUAUUUUUCGUGCGGCCGAUAACUGAUUGGCUAGUUGGUGGGGUACAGGCCUCCCAAGGCGACGAUCAGUAGCGGGUCUGAGAGGACGAUCCGCCACACUGGGACUGAGACACGGCCCAGACUCCGACGGGAGGCAGCAGUGGGGAAUUUUGGACAAUGGGGGCAACCCUGAUCCAGCCAUGCCGCGUGUAUGAAGAAGGCCUUCGGGUUGUAAAGUACUUUUGUUAGGGAAGCGGUACCUAAAGAAUAAGCACCGGCGAACUACGUGCCAGCAGCCGCGGUAAUUC
rnacentral:rRNA from 1 species